rnacentral:rRNA from 1 species
AUACGGAGGGUGCAAGCGUUAAUCGGAAUUACUGGGCGUAAAGAGUACGUAGGUGGUUUAUUAAGUCAGAUGUGAAAGCCCCGGGCUUAACCUGGGAACUGCAUUUGAAACUGGCAAACUAGGGUAUGGUAGAGGCGGGUAGAAUUCAUAGUGUAGCGGUGAAAAGCGUAGAUAUUAUGAGGAAUACCAGUGGCGAAGGCGGCCCGCUGGACCAAUACUGACACUGAGGUACGAAAGCGUGGGGAGCGAACAGGAUUAGAAACCCUAGUAGUCC